UUCGGGAAGUGGAUUAGCGGCGGACGGGUGAGUAACACGUGGGCAACCUGCCUCAAAGUGGGGGAUAGCCCUCCGAAAGGAGGAUUAAUACCGCAUAACAUGAGAGAAUCGCAUGAUUUUUUCAUCAAAGAUUUAUUGCUUUGAGAUGGGCCCGCGGCGCAUUAGCUAGUUGGUGAGGUAACAGCUCACCAAGGCAACGAUG
rnacentral:rRNA from 1 species